GCCUGGAUAGCUCAGUUGGUUAGACCGUUAGAGUGUGGUGCUGAUAACACCAAGGUUGCAGGUUUGAUCCCCAUAUGGGACA